rnacentral:rRNA from 1 species
UACGGAGGGUGCAAGCGUUAAUCGGAAUUACUGGGCGUAAAGCGUGCGUAGGCGGCCCGUUAAGUCAGAUGUGAAAGCCCCGGGCUCAACCUGGGAACGGCAUUUGAAACUGGCGGGCUAGAGUUUGGUAGAGGGGAGUGGAAUUUCAGGUGUAGCGGUGAAAUGCGUAGAUAUCUGAAGGAACACCAGUGGCGAAGGCGACUCCCUGGACUCGAACUGACGCUGAGGUACGAAAGCGUGGGUAGCAAACAGG